rnacentral:rRNA from 1 species
CAGCACCUCAAGUGGUCAGGAGGAUUAUUGGGCCUAAAGCAUCCGUAGCCUGCUUUGUAAGUUUUCGGUUAAAUCCAUAUGCUCAACAUAUGGGCUGCCGGGAAUACUGCAUAGCUAGGGAGUGGGAGAGGUAGACGGUACUCCGUAGGAAGGGGUAAAAUCCUUUGAUCUAUGGAAGACCACCUGUGGCGAAGGCGGUCUACCAGAACACGUUCGACGGUGAGGGAUGAAAGCUGGGGGAGCAAACCGGAUUAGAUACCCGAGUAGUCC